UCUACAGUUCAUUCAAUUAUUCAUGAGACAAUCAGAGUAAUUUGUGAUGUUUUGAUGCCCAUAGUUAUGCAGAUGCCAGAUGAAGAAAUGUGGGAAAAGUACAGUGUUACUAGCUGUGGUCGACGCGAAAUACAGUUUUUUAAUUGUUGAUGUCGGAUCAUAUGGUAAAAAUAGCGACGGCGGAAUUUUACAGAAUUCAAAAUUUUGGAAAAAACUCAACACCAAUAAGUUAAAGCUGCCCCCAAAUAAACCUCUACCUAGUACCACUGAAAGCUUACCACAUGUUUUUAUAGGAGACGAGGCAUUUCCUUUGAGCAAUAAUAUAUUGCGGCCGUAUCCAAGAGAACAAGCAAGAA